AGCGAUCCAAUGAUUUUCUAUUUAUUACAUAUACAAAAAAGAGAAAGUAUGAAUCCAAACAUCAGAUUAUUUUAUGCUUUGAUUAUCUUUCUUUCUCUUCUACUUAUUCUAACCGAUGGUGGUCUAAUCAACGGUGGUUCUGUUCCUUGCUUGACUAGCUUUGGUUGUCCAAGAAGUACAUGCUACCCUCCUUCAACACCAAAUUGCAUUCGUCGUAUUUGUGAGUGCAUCUAAGUAUAACAAUUAAGUUAAAAACAUAAUUGUAUGUUACUUGUAAUUGAAUAAUUUAUAUGUACGUCAUAAUGUUGGCACUCAUACAAUUUUUGUCAAUUUCAAUUCAUUUGGUUGAUCUAGAAAACUCUCAUUAGAGGAUUAGUGGAUGAAAUUAGUACUUGUUAUUAGGCUGGCCGUACUAAUUGCUAGUGGCCUUUACUUUUUUUUUUAUUUUUUUAUUUUCGCACCGGUUUUCAACCCAUAAAAAAUGGACAACUAAUCCGACUCGUAUGUAGAGGAGGCAUGUGCACCGGCCAAACCUUUACUUUUAAUGCUACUGUGAUGAUUCACAUAUUUAUGUUCUAUAUUAGACACAUUUGGUUGUAAAUGAUACACCUUAAAGAAUACAAUACAAAGGCUAUCUUAUUCA